rnacentral:rRNA from 1 species
UGAGGAAUAUUGCGCAAUGGGGGAAACCCUGACGCAGCCACGCCGCGUGAGUGAGGAAGGCUUUCGGGCUGUAAAGUACUGUCGAGCGGGAGGAAAUGAAUGGUGGCUAAUAUUCAUCAUGCUUGACGGUACCGCUAAAGGAAGACCGGGGUAACUCCGUGCCAGCAGCCGCGGUAAUACGGGGGGUGCGAUCGUUGUUCUGAAUUAUUGGGCGUAAAGAGCGUGUAGGCGGCUUAAUAAGUCAGAUGUGAAAUCCCUGGGCUUAACCCAGGACGUGCAUUUGAUACUAUUUGGCUAGAGUAUUGGAGAGGCAAGCUGAAUUCUAGGUGUAGCGGUGAAAUGCGUAGAUAUCUAGAGGAACACCAAAGGCGAAGGCAGCUUGCUGGACAAUAACUGACGCUGAGGCGCGAAAGCGUGGGGAGCAAAAA